rnacentral:rRNA from 1 species
CAGUAGCCGCGGUAAUACGGAGGGUGCAAGCGUUAAUCGGAAUUACUGGGCGUAAAGCGUGCGUAGGCGGUUCGUUAAGUCUGUUGUGAAAGCCCCGGGCUCAACCUGGGAAUGGCAAUGGAUACUGGCGAGCUAGAGUGUGUCAGAGGAUGGUGGAAUUCCCGGUGUAGCGGUGAAAUGCGUAGAGAUCGGGAGGAACAUCAGUGGCGAAGGCGGCCAUCUGGGACAACACUGACGCAGAGGCACGAAAGCGUGAGGAGCAAACAGGAUUAGAUACCCCCGUAGUCCCUGUCUCUUAUAA